AUUGAACGCUGGCGGCAGGCCUAACACAUGCAAGUCGAGCGAGCGGCGGACGGGUGAGUAAUGUCUGGGAAACUGCCUGAUGGAGGGGGAUAACUACUGGAAACGGUAGCUAAUACCGCAUACCAUCAGAUGUGCCCAGAUGGGAUUAGCUAGUAGGUGGGGUAACUGCUCACCGAGGCGACGAUACCUAGCUGGUUUUAGAGGAUGACCAGCCACACGGGAUCUGAGACACGGUCCAGACUCCUCCGUGAGGCAGCAGUGGGGAAUAUUGCACAAUGGGCGAAAGCCUGAUGCAGCCAUGCCGUGUGUGUGAAGAAGGCCUUCGGGUUGUAAUGUACUUUCAGCGGGGAGGCGUUACCCGCAGAAGAAGCACCGGCUAACUCCGUGCCAGCCGCCGCGGUAAUAC
rnacentral:rRNA from 1 species